UCUGAACUAGUUUGAUUUCAAAAGUCUUAAUUUCUAAACAUCAUCUCAUGUUCUCCAUGUGACUCUGAUUCUUGCUAAAUAUUGCAAGACCUUCUAUCUGAUUUCUCUCAUGUUAUCUGAUACUCUCUUUUAGCUAUAUUCUUUUAUUCAAUGGUUCUUGAUCGCAUGACCACUUUGUUUUAUUAAAACUCAGUCUUGCAUGUUUAAAGUUUAUGCACUCUUUAUAGUUAGACAUCUCCCUUUCAAAAUAACCUCUAAUUUUUGGGAUUGGUUUCAGACUGCAAUUGUGCAAACUUGAUUGAUUCUUC
rnacentral:lncRNA from 1 species